rnacentral:rRNA from 1 species
UCGAGCGAUGAAGCACCUUCAGGUGUGAAUUAGCGGCGAACGGGUGAGGAACACGUGAGAAAUCUGCCUUCAACACUGGGAUAACUCCGGGAAACCGGGGCUAAUACCGGAUAUGAAAUCUGCGGGCAUCCGCGGAUUUGGAAAGUUUUUCGGUUGAAGAUGAUCUCGCGGCCUAUCAGCUUGUUGGUGAGGUAAUGGCUCACCAAGGCGACGACGGGUAGCCGGCCUGAGAGGGCGACCGGCCACACUGGGACUGAGACACGGCCCAUACUCCUACGGGAGGCAGCAGUGGGGAAUAUUGGGCAAUGGAGGAAACUCUGACCCAGCGACGCCGCGUGCGGGAUGAAGGCCUUCGGGUUGUAAACCGCUUUCAGCAGGGAAGAAGCGAAAGUGACGGUACCUGCAGAAGAAGCACCGGCUAACUAUGUGCCAGCAGCCGCGGUAAUACAUAGGGUGCAAGCGUUGUCCGGAAUUAUUGGGCGUAAAGAGCUCGUAGGUGGUUCGUCACGUCGGAUGUGAAACUCUGGGGCUUAACCCCAGACCUGCAUUCGAUACGGGCGAGCUUGAGUAUGGUAGGGGAGUCUGGAAUUCCUGGUGUAGCGGUGGAAUGCGCAGAUAUCAUGGGGAACACCAAUGGCGAA